CAGCACCAUGAAGGGACGCUGUCUGUUUAUGCACCCAGAAAGACGAAACGCGCGACUUACGAACGCGGGACCGACAUUCCCUAUAAUUUAUAACAGUGGGUUUCGCAAUAAGAGCAGUCAGAAAUGACCACCCAGUGGCAGGGUAAAGGAUGUUCAGUCAUAACAUCUGAUGAAGCGAAACAUUAACGAGGCGAUAUAUCAGCCGGCUCUUAUAGACGUAGCGUGGGCGGUAUCUUGGACAUCACCCAGAAGAACGAGCACGAAAUGAAAUGUGAAAGAAGUAAUUUCUCGGGACUGCCAUGUCUGUUCAUCGAAGUGUCGGAUCAACGAUAAAAAUCCACAUUUCGAUGAUUACAGCUUCUUGGACUGAAAGGUGGCGUAAUGAAAUAAAUAAUGAAGUAACGCAACAACUUUACCCAAUCCAUCGUUAUGAUGUUAUCUACACUUUUCCACGUAGCUCGUAAAAGUUCGUUGACUGAAAUCUUUGACAAGCGAUGUUUAAAUCCAUAUGUAUAUGUCUAAAAAUCACUGU
rnacentral:misc_RNA from 1 species